AGUGAACGCUGGCGGUAGGCCUAACACAUGCAAGUCGAACGGCAGCACAGUAAGAGCUUGCUCUUACGGGUGGCGAGUGGCGGACGGGUGAGGAAUACAUCGGAAUCUACUUUUUCGUGGGGGAUAACGUAGGGAAACUUACGCUAAUACCGCAUACGACCUACGGGUGAAAGCAGGGGAUCUUCGGACCUUGCGCGAUUGAAUGAGCCGAUGUCGGAUUAGCUAGUUGGCGGGGUAAAGACCCACCAAGGCGACGAUCCGUAGCUGGUCAGAGUGGAUGGUCAGCCACACUGGAACUGAGACACGGUCCAGACUCCUACGGGAGGCAGCAGUGGGGAAUAUUGGACAAUGGGCGCAAGCCUGAUCCAGCCAUACCGCGUGGGUGAAGAAGGCCUUCGGGUUGUAAAGCCCUUUUGUUGGGAAAGAAAAGCAGCAGGUUAAUACCCCGCUGUUCUGACGGUACCCAAAGAAUAAGCACCGGCUAACUUCGUG
rnacentral:rRNA from 1 species